UUGACUCCCUUAUGAAGAGGCUACAUGGAAGCAACGAGUUUAAGAAAGAAAAUAAAUUGCAAAGGAUUAAUUAACCUACAUGAGUGACUUGGUGAUGUUGCAAGCGAAGGUGACGCAAAUGAUUCAAGAAAAUAUAGAAGAUCUUCAAUCCAGUAACCACUUCGACUCUCAAGUUCUUUUAGUUGGUCUCUAUGGAUGCCUUUCGAAUCUGCAGAAUUUGACAAGAUGGGGUGGAGCUUUGUUAGAGUUGUCUCAGUUUCAGAAUUUUCCCGAGUCAAAGAAGAUGACCCAAGCAGUUGCAGAACACCAGAAGAGACCUCGUUACAUGCUGGUACCGAGGGUAUGUGUGUGCAAUACAGACAUUACAGGGAGCAUUGCUCAGCUGUACAUACACUGUACUUGACUAUGCCCAAACCGGUUUGAUUGCAGCAGUUUUCUUCUUUAAAGUAGCCAAAGAAGGGGUACAGUUACCGCCAGACAGAACAGUUUGCCCCCUGUGCUUGCAGAAGCGCGUAAAUCCAUCUGUAAUUACGGUUUCAGGUUUCGUCUUCUGCUAUGCCUGUGUAUUCAAGUUUGUUACUCAGUAUAAGCGUUGUCCAGCAACGAUGAUGCCUGCAACAGUUGACCAGAUAAGGAGACUCUUUCAUGAUGUAUAGUCCCAGUUGGAGCUGCUAUAAACGAGUAGAUGAGUAAAACAUUCGCAAUGGUUGUUGCACUGAUCUAUGUUUAUUUUAGUGUUGGGAGAGGCAAGUAAGAAGCAUAAUGUUGUAGCUAUCUGUAGUAGUUAAUGUUGUAGCAUUGUUCAAUCUUCAACUCUUAUGAACAAACAUCUUCUAUGAUAGAGCUCAAUGUUUGUUCAUAAAUUUGUGUAAUUAAUGGGUACAUUUGUAGUAUAUGUAAUGACUUGUAAAUGUGUACAUAAAUUUGUAUAUAUUUUGAUACAUUCAAGGCAAAAUUGGUUUGAAUUGGUAUA